rnacentral:lncRNA from 1 species
GUUCAAAGAACAAUUGAAGGUCUUUCAACUAAUAAAGAUCUAUUUUGAUAUGAAAAUAUUAAAAUUCAGUUGAAAAUGUCAGUUCCUAUGGCUUUUUGAUGUAUAAAUAUGAAUUUAAAGCAAAGGUCAAAAUCUAGAACGUCAAAUUAACCUUUGACCUUGACCUUAAUUUCAAGGUCAUAGACAAAACAUCUCGAAUCAAAAGACACUAGUUCCUUUAUAUGUAUGGUUCAUGAGUAAUAUCACUUUACGCAUAAUUCUAAAUAUAAGAGGGGCGGAAACUCCCAUUUGUUGUCUACGCACCCUUGCAACCAAAAUUCAUAAGUUACAACAUGUCGCAACUAACAAUUCAGUAAAAAUAAUUUGUCGAUAUCUUAUAAGGUUAAUGAAAAUAAGUGAAAAUAAGCCAAAAUCAAAAUUUAGAAUUUGACCUUGACCUUUGACCUUGACCUACUUUUCAUUUUUUUGGACCAAGGAUCUUAAAUCAAAAGACCCUAGGUCUCUAUCACUUAUGGUUUACCAGUUAGAAAUGCAAAUCACUUAUAUCAUAUAUAAAAGGGGGGAUAACUCUCAUAUGGAGUCUCCGGAUAGUUUCGGUCCAAAUGAAACAGAACAUCCUGAGGAUAUAACGAGC